CUUAGUGUUCUUGACCGGGUAUUCGUUACCCCUGACUGGGAACUUUGGUUCCCCUUGGCCUCUCUUCUGGUAAUUACGCGCAUCGGUUUCGACCAUGUGCCUCUCCUCUUAUCCUCUAGGGGAGCAGCACCACCACCACCGCCAAAACUGGAAUGGCCGACCUUCUGGCUCCGACAGCCAGGCUUCAUUGCGUCCGUCCAGGUGCAUUGGACCUUGGCGCAGAAUGAACCUCAUAGGUAGAUGUCUAUACUAGAGGAGUGGCACCACGUGUCCAAACGUUCCAGGAAAUUCAUGAAGGGUUGGGGCACCAACGUAAGGAGGGACCUUCGGGUCCAGAAGGUGGAUGAACGUGGAUGCUCCACAUCACUUGACCUUCGUGCGGACACCUCAGACAUUUCUGUUGAAGAAUGGGCUCAUAGAUACAACCUUGAGGAUCCUCUUAUGGACAUCUACUCUAAAGAAGAGGAAUAUUGGCGUCAGCGGAGUUCUAUGUGA
rnacentral:rRNA from 1 species